rnacentral:rRNA from 1 species
UGGGGGACAACAUCUCGAAAGGGAUGCUAAUACCGCAUACGUCCUACGGGAGAAAGCAGGGGAUCUUCGGACCUUGCGCUAAUAGAUGAGCCUAAGUCGGAUUAGCUAGUUGGUGGGGUAAAGGCCUACCAAGGCGACGAUCUGUAGCGGGUCUGAGAGGAUGAUCCGCCACACUGGGACUGAGACACGGCCCAGACUCCUACGGGAGGCAGCAGUGGGGAAUAUUGGACAAUGGGGGGAACCCUGAUCCAGCCAUGCCGCGUGUGUGAAGAAGGCCUUAUGGUUGUAAAGCACUUUAAGCGAGGAGGAGGCUACUUUAGUUAAUACCUAGAGAUAGUGGACGUUACUCGCAGAAUAAGCACCGGCUAACUCUGUGCCAGCAGCCGCGGUAAUACAGAGGGUGCGAGCGUUAAUCGGAUUUACUGGGCGUAAAGCGUGCGUAGGCGGCUUAUUAAGUCGGAUGUGAAAUCCCCGAGCUUAACUUGGGAAUUGCAUUCGAUACUGGUGAGCUAGAGUAUGGGAGAGGAUGGUAGAAUUCCAGGUGUAGCGGUGAAAUGCGUAGAGAUCUGGAGGAAUACCGAUGGCGAAGGCAGCCAUCUGGCCUAAUACUGACGCUGAGGUACGAAAGCAUGGGGAGCAAACAGGAUUAGAUACCCUGGUAGUCCAUGCCGUAAACGAUGUCUACUAGCCGUUGGGGCCUUUGAGGCUUUAGUGGCGCAGCUAACGCGAUAAGUAGACCCGCCUGGGGAGUACGGUCGCAAGACUAAAACUCAAAUGAAAUUGACGGGGGGCCCGCACAA